rnacentral:rRNA from 1 species
GACGAACGCUGGCGGCGUGCUUAACACAUGCAAGUCGAACGAUGAAGUUCCUUCGGGGAUGGAUUAGUGGCGAACGGGUGAGGAACACGUGAGAAACCUGCCCAUCAUUUUGGGAUAACACCGGGAAACCGGUGCUAAUACCGGAUACUCCAUCGCAACGGCAUCGUUGUGAUGGGAAAGAAUCUCGAUGAUGGAUGGUCUCGCGGCCUAUCAGCUUGUUGGUGAGGUAAUGGCUCACCAAGGCGACGACGGGUAGCCGGCCUGAGAGGGCGACCGGCCACACUGGGACUGAGACACGGCCCAGACUCCUACGGGAGGCAGCAGUGGGGAAUAUUGGGCAAUGGACGCAAGUCUGACCCAGCGACGCCGCGUGAGGGAUGAAGGCCUUCGGGUUGUAAACCUCUUUCAGUAGGGAAGAAGCGAAAGUGACGGUACCUAAAGAAGAAGCACCGGCUAACUAUGUGCCAGCAGCCGCGGUAAUACAUAGGGUGCAAGCGUUGUCCGGAAUUAUUGGGCGUAAAGAGCUCGUAGGUCGUUUGACACGUCGGAUGUGAAAAUCUGAGGCUUAACCUCAGACCUGCAUUCGAUACGGUCAAACUAGAGUGUGGUAGGGGAGACUGGAAUUCCUGGUGUAGCGGUGGAAUGCGCAGAUAUCAGGAGGAACACCAAUGGCGAAGGCAGGUCUCUGGGCCAUUACUGACACUGAGGAGCGAAAGCGCGGGGAGCGAACAGGAUUAGAUACCCUGGUAGUCCGCGCCGUAAACGGUGGGCACUAGUUGUGGGAACCUUCCACGGUUUCCGCGACGCAGCCUAACGCAUUAAGUGCCCCGCCUGGGGAGUACGAUCGCAAGAUUA